CCAUUGCCGUGCCCAGACUGACGGCCCCCACCUGUCGCCUCUCUCUCCAGGACAUAUUCUUUGAAGACGAUGAUCUGGCGAAACGCAAGAAGUCACGGAGGAAGCUGCCAAACUCAUCGGGCAUCUCCCGCUCCGGCAUGAGCAACCAACAAAACAUCAAACAGAAAUUCGUGGCCUUGCUGAAGAGGUUUCGCGUCUCUGACGAGGUGCUUGCUCUGGAGAACGUGUCGACCGAACAGAUCCAAGAGGUGGAGGAAGACUUGG